UACGUAGGGACCGAGCGUUGUCCGGAUUCAUUGGGCGUAAAGAGCUCGUAGGCGGCCACUCAAGUCGAAUGUGAAACCUCGAGGCUUAACCUCGAGCCUGCAUUCGAUACUGGGCGGCUAGAGUCUGGUAGGGGGAUCUGGAAUUCCUGGUGUAGCGGUGGAAUGCGCAAAUAUCAGGAGGAACACCGGUGGCGAAGGCGGGAUCCUGGGCCAGUACUGACGCUGAGGAGCGAAAGCGUGGGGAGCAAACAGG
rnacentral:rRNA from 1 species